GGAGAGCCUAGCAGUGAUCCUUCACGCCUGCCACAGAGGACUGCCCCGGGAGUGCCACUAGCGUGGAGGGUGGUGAAAGAAUUUUUGAGAACUUGACACAUGCCUCCUGGAAUUUGGGGACAUCUGUGAACAUAGAAGAUUCCCACUUCUCCCCCAGAGAAUGCUGCAGGUGGAAUAAAAUAACCUACCACAGCAGGAGAGCCAUCUGGCAAAAAAACUGAGGACCUCAGUCCAACAGCCAGCAAGGAACUGAAUCCUGCCAAAAACCAUGUGACUGAACUUGGACAUGGAUCCUGUCCCAGCUGAGCCUUGAGAUAAGACUGCAGCCCCAGCUGAUAAUUGAUGGCAGCCUGUGAGAGACCCUGAGUGGAUACCCUGAUGGAAAUCCUGAGAGAUUAAGUAGAUGACUCAGUUAGGCCAUGCUAUUCCUGACCCGUAGAAACAGUGAGAUCAUAAAUGUGUGUUGCUUAAGCUAAGUUUUAUUUUUUUAAAGGUGGAAUUCAAGAUUAAAAGCAAUAAACAA